GAUAAGUUUGGCGAACGAAUCGAGGCCGUCACCGCGUUCUGCUCUUGCCCGGAGACUGCGUUGUUGGAAAGCGUUUCGCGUAUCCACGUUACGUCUAUUGUCGUCGUCGUCGGUGAAAACAAAUUCCUGUACAUUAUUUUGGGGACGAUCAGCUGAAGGAUAUAAAGCUCAAUUUGAUAUCAGUGCGGGGGGGUUGGAGUAAAGGGAGACCUAAACCGUGAUUUGAGAAGAUAAUCAAAUACCGUUUCGUUUCGAAUUAGUUAAAAUCCUACGUGGAACUCCAGCCAGCCAGCAGUGCCCUUGUGUGUGGAAUUCAACGGUGCAAAAGAUUGUGAAAAAUCCCGAUCGUGAAGUGAAAAUCUAAUCGAUUCUUGUGCUCAAUCGUGUUCACCUAGCGGCCGCUAUCGUUCACUGCAGGGCCGUGAGGUGGAAAAGUGCACUUCAGUGACUCACAUCGCAACGAUUCACAUCGGGGCUGGCCUCGAUCACCGAACGAGUCAUUGGAAAUAAAUUACCGUCACGGCGCUGAGAAUACCUCUUGGCAAAUAAAGGUUCUGUUCAUUCAUCAGCGCCCGGGUGGUGUGAUAUACUACGAGUUGGGGUUACAUAUUUUACUGAUGAUUAAUCGUGCGUUGUUUUCGAUACGGUCGUGAUUGAAGCGGGCUUAGGAAUUAGGAAUGUGCACAAUUUUUCCUCCCACUAUUCGGAGCUUAGUGGUUGACAUAGUUCAUAUCGAUGUUCAUGAGCGAAGAAUCACCCGAAACAGCAGCAAAAUGUUAUGAAAUGUUCAUGUGCCAUUGACUUUUUUUUCUCCUCGACUUAAGCUACUUAACGUGAAGAAGUGCUAUGUUUUUGUUUUUGAACAAAUGAUCAAGGUAUCGGCGAUUGCGUGUAUUUGUGUACACGAAGUAUCUACGUGCAGUGAGUAAAUAACUUCGACUUCCAGUAGUCAGUGUUUCGGUUGGAGCUGCAGUGUAAUCGAAACAAAUUGAAUGCUGAUUGAUGUGUGGACGAGAAUUGCUAUACAGCUGGUGAGUUGGGAAAUGCAGUUCAAGAUGCAUUCGUCAUCGCGGUUGAACAGCAAGCAAGGGAAAGACUGCAGCGUCUGUCGGCUCUCAAGCGGAUUACUCCGGUUGACAUGUCGCAACUGUCUAUAAAG